rnacentral:rRNA from 1 species
UGGGGAACCUGCCCCAUAGUCUGGGAUACCACUUGGAAACAGGUGCUAAUACCGGAUAAGAAAGCGGAUCGCAUGAUCAGCUUUUAAAAGGCGGCGUAAGCUGUCGCUAUGGGAUGGCCCCGCGGUGCAUUAGCUAGUUGGUAAGGUAAAGGCUUACCAAGGCGAUGAUGCAUAGCCGAGUUGAGAGACUGAUCGGCCACAUUGGGACUGAGACAGGCCCAAACUCCUACGGGAGGCAGCAGCG